GACGGGGGGGGCAAGUGUUCUUCGGAAUGACUGGGCGUAAAGGGCACGUAGGCGGUGAAUCGGGUUGAAGGUGAAAGUCGCCAAAAAGUGGCGGAAUGCUCUCGAAACCAAUUCACUUGAGUGAGACAGAGGAGAGUGGAAUUUCGUGUGUAGGGGUGAAAUCCGUAAAUAUACGAAGGAACGCCAAAAGCGAAGGCAGCUCUCUGGGUCCCUACUGACGCUGAGGUGCGAAAGCGUGGGGAGCAAACAGG
rnacentral:rRNA from 1 species